GGUUCAUGUGUUUGCCAUGUUUCAGUACCAUGGAGACAAAAAUAAGAGUAUGUGCAAAUGUUUAGAUUGACCAGCUGAAGUUCAACUGGUUGAUUUUCAAACGGCUGAUCCUGUACGUAAGUGCAAAGGGCUGUCUGCAUGCUUGGUGGAGAGCUUGCAAUGCUAAAAGCACCCAGUCAGGGGAACCCAAAGCAUGCAAUCGAGCCUGCUUUGCAGGCUCUUCUGCCUAGAUACAAGCAAGUCAGGGCAAUUAGCUGGUUCUCCAACAUCACCUCCCUCCCUUACAGCUGCCAGGCUGUCAGAUAGCAGACCCAGAGCAGGUCUACUGUCUCCUCAAUCUGCCAGUUUCCUUUCCAGCAGCCCAAGGGAUCUAUACCUCAGAAUGUCUUUCUGAGCUUCUGUUCUGCUGUGUCUAAUGAACAGCAUGUGCGCAUGACAGGCAGCCUGCCAAGACUACACCGUUUUUAAUGAAGUUAAAAAAUGUUCCUCUGUCCCACUUGUCAUAGAUGGAAUUUUUAAAAAGUGCCUAAAUGGAAAGAAGAGAACUGACUUCCACUGGAAAUUGUGGUCCUAGGUUCUUUUAGAGAAUCCCACCCUACAUGUAGCAGGCACAGUAAUGGAGCAAGCACUGAAGCAAUUUUAAGGUGGGACACAGAGGGAGACACCCAGAAGUGAGAGGCUAAGACACUGCCUUGGGUUCUACUCCUGAUUCUAAAACAGACUUGGUGAGAGACUAUCUACAGGUAUUGAGAGGCAGCCACAGAUUUUGCGGUUCCAGGGGGCUCACAAAGGCAAGGUUCCAAAGGAAAAAAAAAAUCUAGUUUGCAAUGACCCAUGAAUACACAAAAGAAAGAGAGAAAGUAUGGAAUUACCUAAAUUAGCAACAGAAACAGAACAUAGCUAGCAUAGCAGAAUAUUGCUAGUUUAGCUAGCAUAGUAGAACAUGCUAACAUAACCAGUCAGGAGCCAAGUAGCACAGUUCACAGAAAAGAAAAAUCAUGCCUUAGAGUUCUUUGGCACGCAAGCAAAACAACAAAUCAAUGAAAACUUGUUGGCAAACUUUGGUGUUUCAAAAAAAUCUAAGACAGUAUUAAGGAGUCAUGGGGGUGAAAGGUUUGAUACUGUUAUGGGUAUGAAGCUAAGCUAAGAAACGAAACAAAGAGCAGAAAUAAGUGGCAGUUCCCAGCAUAGCAAAAGAUUAAC